CAACCUGCCCUUCAGAGGGGGAUAACAACGGGAAACCGUUGCUAAUACCGCGUACGAUUCACAGGCGGCAUCGCUUGUGAAUGAAAGGUGGCCUCUAUAUAUAAGCUAUCGCUGAAGGAGGGGAUUGCGUCUGAUUAGCUAGUUGGAGGGGUAACGGCCCACCAAGGCAAUGAUCAGUAGCCGGUCUGAGAGGUUGAACGGCCACAUUGGGACUGAGACACGGCCCAG
rnacentral:rRNA from 1 species